AAACACACAGGUGCUUUCUUUUCAGGUGACUGAGUGUGUUUCAUUUAUCAUCCAGCUGAUUAAAAAAUGUAAGGAAAGGGAGAGAGAAAAAGAAUAGGAACGAGGGAAUUCAGCAGAUCCCUGGAAAGGUGGAAUAAGAAGAAAGAGCAGAAUAAGAAGAGAGUGGUGACAAAGGUCACGCAAAAGCCAGCUUGAACAGGGAAUCUGCACGAGAUGUUGGAAGAUCAACAUGCAGUGAUGAGUCCUGCUGGGAACCGGAGUGCAUGACGACUUCUUCUUACAUCAAAGCAGCGUUUUUGGUGGAGAUCAGAGGAGCUGCUCCAGCCUCUUCAUGAUGAAUAAACAAGAGUGCUGAUCUGA